rnacentral:rRNA from 1 species
CUACGGGUCGCUGCAGUGGGGAAUAUUGGACAAUGGGGGAAACCCUGAUCCAGCAAUGCCGCGUGUGUGAAGAAGGCCUGCGGGUUGUAAAGCACUUUCGGUUGGGAGGACUGCUUCUAGCACUAAUAUUGUUGGAAGUUGACGUUACCUUCAGAAGAAGCACCGGCUAACUCCGUGCCAGCAGCCGCGGUAAUACGGAGGGUGCAAGCGUUAAUCGGAAUUACUGGGCGUAAAGCGCGCGUAGGCGGCUAGAUCAGUCGGGUGUGAAAGCCCCGGGCUUAACCUGGGAACUGCAUCCGAUACUGUCUAGCUUGAGUACAGGAGAGGAGAGUGGAAUUCCAUAUGUAGCGGUGAAAUGCGUAGAUAUGUGGAGGAACACCAAUGGCGCAGGCAGCUCUCUGGACUGAUACUGACGCUGAGGUGCGAGAGCGUGGGGAGCAACCAGGAUUAGAUACCCGAGUAGUC